rnacentral:tRNA from 1 species
GUGGUGAUAACUCAGUGGUAGAGCACAUGCUUAGCAUGCAUGAGGUCCUGGGUUCAACUCCCAGUACCUCA